AGUGAACGCUGGCGGUAGGCCUAACACAUGCAAGUCGAACGGCAGCACAGUAAGAGCUUGCUCUUACGGGUGGCGAGUGGCGGACGGGUGAGGAAUACAUCGGAAUCUACUUUUUCGUGGGGGAUAACGUAGGGAAACUUACGCUAAUACCGCAUACGACCUACGGGUGAAAGCAGGGGAUCUUCGGACCUUGCGCGAUUGAAUGAGCCGGUGUCGGAUUAGCUAGUUGGCGGGGUAAAGGCCCACCAAGGCGACGAUCCGUAGCUGGUCUGAGAGGAUGAUCAGCCACACUGGAACUGAGACGCGGUCCAGGCUCCUACGGGAGGCAGCAGUGGGGAAUAUUGGACAAUGGGCGCAAGCCUGAUCCAGCCAUACGGCGUGGGUGAAGAAGGCCUUCGGGUUGUAAAGCCCUUUUGUUGGGAAAGAAAAGCAGCAGGUUAAUACCCCGCUGUUCUGACGGUACCCAAAGAAUAAGCACCGGCUAACUUCGUG
rnacentral:rRNA from 1 species